rnacentral:misc_RNA from 2 species
AACGCACAUUGCGCCCCUUGGUAUUCCGAGGGGCAUGCCUGUCCGAGCGUCAUUACAACCCCUCCAGCGUGCUGGGUCUUGGGCCUCGCCUCCGGGCGGGCCUUAAAAUCAGUGGCGGCCCUAUCAGGCCCUGAGCGUAGUAACUUCUCUCGCUACAGGGCCGCGGUAGGCGCUAGCCAGCAACCCCCCCUUCUUUCUAAUGGUUGACCUCGGAUCAGGUAGGGAUACCCGCUGAACUUAA